GAUGAACGCUGGCGGCGUACCUAAUACAUGCAAGUCGAGCGAACGGACGAGGAGCUUGCUUCUCUGAUGUUAGCGGCGGACGGGUGAGUAACACGUGGAUAACCUACCUAUAAGACUGGGAUAACUUCGGGAAACCGGAGCUAAUACCGGAUAAUAUUUUGAACCGCAUGGUUCAAAAGUGAAAGACGGUCUUGCUGUCACUUAUAGAUGGAUCCGCGCUGCAUUAGCUAGUUGGUAAGGUAACGGCUUACCAAGGCAACGAUGCAUAGCCGACCUGAGAGGGUGAUCGGCCACACUGGAACUGAGACACGGUCCAGACUCCUACGGGAGGCAGCAGUAGGGAAUCUUCCGCAAUGGGCGAAAGCCUGACGGAGCAACGCCGCGUGAGUGAUGAAGGUCUUCGGAUCGUAAAACUCUGUUAUUAGGGAAGAACAUAUGUGUAAGUAACUGUGCACAUCUUGACGGUACCUAAUCAGAAAGCCACGGCUAACUACGUG
rnacentral:rRNA from 1 species